UAGGUAGGUAAACCUAUAUAGGUUUCUUAUAGGUAUCUUGGAGCAAACGACCUACGUCGGGUCGGGACUGAUAUGCGUGUGACUGUGCACAAGUUCCCGCUAAAAAAAGAAGUACAGAGAAAAGUGGAUGAGGGUGUGUGGCAUGACCAAUGAGCCAAGACCACAUGACCACUUAAACUUAACAAGAAGUGCGCACCAUGAUAAGCACAGUCAAAAACGUUUGCGUCUAAAGAACAGUGCUCUGCCGGAUCAGAAUAUUCCGUAUACGCC